UGAGUUGAAGGCCAAAGUCGAUGCUUUUGAC
rnacentral:piRNA from 1 species